rnacentral:lncRNA from 1 species
AUAUAUAAGCAAGGCAGGUAGCCAAUAUAGGCUGAAGUUAUACCAAAAACAACUUAGCUACAAAGGUACACCUCAAAAAUGAGGUUAGUAAACACUUAGUAAUGAUUCAGUACUAAACAUCAAGGUUUAUCACAUGACAUUGGCAGAUUUCAUACCAGAUCUUACUUGUUGUAACAAAUAUACAAAUAUACUCAGAGCAACCUUCUAGGAGCGUUAGUGCAUUUCAUAAAACAAUGCUAUAAAAGGGGGCAUCGACCAUACAACAUACUUGUUGAUCCUCAACUUUCACUUCUAUCUCCAAGUAUAUUGGAAUUCCAAAGAGCAGUCUUAGGGCGCCGUGCCCUGUCCAGCACCAUGGUCCAGUGCUCAAAUCUAAACCAUAAAGCAGGUUACAGUGAUAUACAGGGAAAGAAUAUACAUAAGUGAACCCCUAACAAAGCCCUAGAUUACUUAGGUAUCAUCUUCACACACCCAUGAGACUUCAGGUUGUAGCCUUAAAGAUAAGUGUAGACAAACCCUGUCAAUAAUAAUACAUGAGCUGCAAGAGUAGAGAACAUUUGUUGUAUACGAAGCCACACCAUUCUCUGCCAUAAAAGUAGGGAGACAGAGCACUAAAACAAGAAAGGGUAAAUGUUUCACUGAUGGAUGAACUUUGCAAAUAACACUCAAAAGGGGAUGAACAGCAAUGGGAAAUUUUCCUCUAAGACUGCCGCAAAUCAUUAUGAAUCAUGGGCAUGUGUCAUGCACACACACAUGAUGUAUUUUUAUUAUUACCAUGCACUACUGCCUACUCCUCUAUAUAUCAUUAAGAACAUGUCACUAAAUCCUUGAUGGUUGAAACCAAGAUAAAGUUAAAGGUUCAAAUUUUACUAACCUAAGGCGGUAAUUCAAGCAGCUUGUUGAAGCCUUUCCAAAAAAAGCCUCUAAAAAAUAAUCAGCCAAACUAUUGUACUAAACAUAAGAACUUAUUCCAGAGAUAUGUUAACACAUUAUGAAAGAUCAUACCUCCACAAAGCAAAUCAGGAAUGGCAGAUCCAUGGAUGUCCAUCCCCACUUUCUACAAUUACAAAAAAAUAAAAUCUAAGGUGAGAACAUCACUGACUUAUAAGUGGAAACAGAAUUUUUCUAUGAACCAUAGCAUGCACUUGACAAAGUAAAAUACCCAUAAAUGGAGUUACUAUGUGAACUAUAGCAUGCACUUGACAAAGUAAAGAAUGUGGACUGGAGUUAAACCGAUAUAAUCAUACAGUGGUAUUUUCCUGAAAAUUUAAUUAUAAAAAGAGAGCUUCAUGGGCGACAUGACUGUUGCUCUGGGCAUAUGUGACUUUAUCUAUAUGAAAAGUAUAUAUGUCCAUUCCUCAUGAACUUCCAGCCGAAUAGUUGACAAAAUUCUUCAUGGUUGCUCUGCAUUUUGGUACAUGUGAUUGCCUUGCCUUUUGCUAUGGCUUUGACAAAUGAUCCUAUACCAAGUAGCAACAAUAUUGUGGUUUGUUUAAACGCUGAGACAAAACUUUCAGCGAGGCACCACAUGCCAAGGCACGUUUCCGAUCUGCUACUCCCUAUGUUUCAAAAUAUAAUUUUUUUGGAUAUUUCAAUACGUACUACUUACGGAUGUAUAUAGACAUAUUUUAGAAUGUAGGUUCACUCAUCUCUCUCUGUAUGUAGCCCUUAUUGGAAUAUCUAAAAAGACAUAUAUUUAGGAAUGGAGGGAGUAUAUCGUUAUAAUGGAAUUCUGUAUCUAAUUCGGACAAAACAAAACUGAAGGGUGCUUAUUACUCUAGCUAAAUACUGAUGGAAUUACAUUAUUUGAACUGAAGCAGUUUUCAUAUAUUACAAGGACAACAAAUAAUAUUGAAGUGUUACUUUAAAUAUGUAGCUACACUUCUAGGUCAAUUAAUGUAAUGGAGCAACCCUUUUCUUUGUCGUCUGUGCAUGCGACACAGGUUGCUGAAUGUUUCAGCUAAUCUAGUACCCGGGAAAAAACAGCUAAAUGUACUCAAUGUUUGUUCCUUCUCCACUGGACACCAACAGAGGGCUUCCAUAUGAUACAAUACUCAAAGGUCUAGAUGAUGACAGAGGAACCAAAGGUCUACCAAAGGAUGCUUCAAUGUCUCAUUUUAAAAAGUCAACAGGUUGAUGUUCUUUUUCCUAUCUCAUUUUGUCGGUUUGAUACUUGAAAUAUCACAUGAUUAUUGUUCAGAUGCACCUGUUAUCUAAAUUGGUUCCUGCUGACACACUCAGGCAGUACAAGUCUCACAAUAAAUCUGAUUCCACACAUGCAGCCACUCUGUAGAUUAAGUUGGCACUGACACUUAUUUAAGUUGAUUCUAGUGUAACAAUGAAAAACUUUGGAGAACCCAUACCUUACAGCUAUUAUAAAUAUAGGUUAUUACUUCAGAACCAUAUAAUGAGAGAGAGGUCUAUUUUUAGGUUAUUACUACUUCAGAACCACAUACCAUUUAACAGUAUUACUUUUUAGAAGAUAAUUUGUUGUGCUUCUAGAGAAUUGGCAGAAUAAUCAGAAGCAAAGGUCCGAUGGUUCAUUGUAUCAACCAAUCAUGAAUUACUGGCUAAAGGUUCUAGAAUUUACAUUAUACAUAAGUAGUAGAAAAACAUAAUUUUUGUUUUAACUUGAGUUGUAUCUGUAACAUAGUGAUAUUCAGAGGACCCAAACAUGGGUACUUCCAACGCUAUCACACACAAAGUUAAAUGCAUUGGCUUUAGAGAUACCUCGACAGAUGUCAUUAGGUGGAGAAGUUAUAUUCAACAGGGCAUGAAGAG